rnacentral:lncRNA from 1 species
AAAAAAUAAUUAAUUAUAAAAUUUACCUUUAGUUUGCUAGAUAAAUUUUCUAAAUCUAGUUAUUAUAUAAUUGAACAAUAUUUAUCAAAUAAAAAUAGAAGUGUUGCAAAAAAUUUCAAGGCCUGACAUGAGAUCUGCACAAGUGCGGAGGGACCUGCAGCAGAGGACUAGUAGAGCACUGGUAGUAGUAGACUGUAGUAGUAUAGCUGGUGCAUGCAGCAUGUGAUGUGCCUGGUCUUGUCUUGGCGUCACACGUCUCGGGGGCGUCGGGCUCGGGCGCUCCUCCGAAAGAACGGACGCCCGAUGCUCCGGCCGGCAGCUACUCUACUCACUGCUACUACUACAGCUACAGGAUAGUGCAUGAUGAAGGGUGGGUUGCAUUGCAUUGCAUGCAUGAUCUUGUCGCUGCGAGCUGCCAUGGUGCUUGCGUGUUUCCACUCCAGGAGCUACAGUGGAGUACGUAGCAAGCAGCAGCAGGAGCAACAGGCUACGGGCGGGCGGGCGGGCAGGACAAGUGCAAGAUCAUGCUCUGGAGUAAUCAUUAGAUUUCCUUUGGGAACCGCCGAAACCGUAGAGAGGUGCCAGUGUGCAGUGGCCACUACGAUGUAGUAGGAGAGCAGUAGCAGUAGUAGCAGUAGUAGCAGUCGGCUUCAGUGGAAAUUGGAAAUCUUGUGCACAGGGGGAAUGUGAUGGUUUCUCUGCCCCAUUACGCGAUGGCGAUGCACAAGAGAGCUUGUCAGGUCAUUAGAUUCAGUAUACCGGCCCAUAUCUCUACCAUGUUAAAAGAGGUAAAUUAUAGAAAAAAAAUAGAUUAGCCUGUUCACUUAACUGAUAAGUCUUGACUAAUACUAAAGUCGCUGAUUUGUUAUAAAAGAAAAAUAUUUUUAAAUGACUGAAAAAUUUGGCACUUGGGUAUGAUCUCCUUGCAUCUUUUUCUCA